AGAGUUUGAUCCUGGCUCAGAGCGAACGCUGGCGGCAGGCCUAACACAUGCAAGUCGAACGGACCUUUCGGGGUUAGUGGCGGACGGGUGAGUAACACGUGGGAACGUGCCUUUAGGUUCGGAAUAAGCUCGGGAAACUGGGUCUAAUACCGAAUGUGCCCUUCGGGGGAAAGAUUUAUCGCCUUUAGAGCGGCCCGCGUCUGAUUAGCUAGUUGGUGGUGUAAUGGACCACCAAGGCGACGAUCAGUAGCUGGUCUGAGAGGAUGACCAGCCACAUUGGGACUGAGACACGGCCCAAACUCCUACGGGAGGCAGCAGUGGGGAAUCUUGCGCAAUGGGCGAAAGCCUGACGCAGCCAUGCCGCGUGUAUGAUGAAGGUCUUAGGAUUGUAAAAUACUUUCACCGGUGAAGAUAAUGACUGUAGCCGGAGAAGAAGCCCCGGCUAACUUCGUGCCAGCAGCCGUGGUAAUACGAAGGGGGCUAGCGUUGCUCGGAAUUACUGGGCGUAAAGGGAGCGUAUGCGGACAUUUAAGUCAGGGGUGAAAUCCCAGAG
rnacentral:rRNA from 1 species